rnacentral:rRNA from 1 species
CCGUAGGUGAACUGCGGAAGGUCAUUGUCGAGGAAAAUAAAUGUUUUGGCGAGUAGCCCAAGUCGUGUGAUGGGUAGGCGAAGCAAGGUUUCGAUGCCUUGCAAUGCCUUCGACGCGUGGGCACUUUGCUUCCAAAGUUUCCCCGCGUGGCCUUCGGGUAAAAUAUACUAGUGGGCGCAUCUAUUGUGCCAAGGGAAGAUUUGACGUCAAUCUCACAGCAUGCCGCCUUUGUGCGAGUUAUGCAGGUUUGGCGAGGUGGGAUGUUAUGUCCCUUGAGUGUACGACUCUCGGCAACGGAUAUCUUGGCUCUCGCAUCGAUGAAGAACGCAGCGAAAUGCGACAAGUGUUGCGAAUUGCAGAAUCCCGUGAACCAUCCAAUCUUUGAAUGCAAGUGGCGCCUGAGGAUGCUAGCCGAGGGCACACCUGCAUGGGCGUGACGCGUUGCUACGCUCCUUGCAUCGAUCCUUUCAUCGCAGACAAAUGGCCUCUGUGAGCGUGCUUGGAAGCGAUAAAUGGCCCCCCACACUGCGGUUGCGUGGCGGGUUUCAAGUCCGAGGGGAUGGUUGUUGAAGCGACAGGAGGUGGAAUGAUUUUUGUGGUGUGCAGGGCAUUUGUAGCUUUGUUGGUUGCGACUUCUGGCUCUCCUAAAUCCUGCUCCAAGAGAAUGCUUGUGUUCGUCACCCCAUGUCAGUCGAGCUAGCCGCUGA